CCUACGGGAGGCAGCAGUGGGGGAUAUUGCACAAUGGGGGAAACCCUGAUGCAGCGACGCCGCGUGUGGGAAGACGGUCCUCUGGAUUGUAAACCACUGUCCCCAGGGACGAAGAUGACGGUACCUGGGGAGGAAGCUCCGGCUAACUACGUGCCAGCAGCCGCGGUAAUACGUAGGGAGCGAGCGUUGUUCGGAAUUACUGGGUGGAAAGGGAGCGGAGGGGGGACUGCAAGUUGGGUGUCAAAUCUACCGGCUCAACCGGUAGCCGCACUCGAGACUGCAGUUCUUGAGUGAAGUAGAGGCAGGCGGAAUUCCUAGUGUAGCGGUGAAAUGCGUAGAUAUUAGGAGGAACACCAGUGGCGAAGGCGGCCUGCUGGGCUUUUACUGACGCUGAGGCUCGAAAGUGUGGGGAGCAAACAGGAUUAGAUACCCCGGUAGUC
rnacentral:rRNA from 1 species